GAGGGUGUGGCUCGGUGGUAGAGCACGUGCCUAGCAUGUACGAGGUCCUAGGUUCAAUCCCCAGUGCCCCUA
rnacentral:tRNA from 1 species